GAGUGGUAUCAGAUGUAGCAAUACAUGCGUAAGAGCGGCGUAAUGUUGAUUAAUGCAUGGGAACAUUUCUUGUUAUGGGAGAUAAUCAGUAAUAAGCCUAGGUCACACUGCAUGAACACGAGAGUGGAUAGCGUGGGAAUGUAAGGCAUCGCGUGAGAAGAACGCCCGAUCCCGUAAUAGUUAUUGGCGGGGUUAAGGCCCCACCAAGGUAAGGAUCGUUAGUUGUUUUAAGAGAAGAUCCACCAACAUGGGGAUGAAAACCGGUCCAAAAUUCUUAGGGAAGCAACCAUUGGGGAUUUUGGGACAAGGGGGGCAACCUUAAUCAACCAAUCCGGGUGAUUUAUAGAAGCCUUUGGGUUUUUAAGGUAUUUUAGGAGGGAAGGAAAUGGUACGGGAGAACAUACCGGAUCGAUGACGGUACCGUAAGAAGAAGCACCGGCUAACUAUGUG
rnacentral:rRNA from 1 species